rnacentral:rRNA from 1 species
CUAGCAGUAUCAGUAGUUUGAUCCUGGCUCAGAGUGAACGCUGGCGGUAGGCCUAACACAUGCAAGUCGAACGGCAGCACAGUAAGAGCUUGCUCUUAGUGGGUGGCGAGUGGCGGACGGGUGAGGAAUACAUCGGAAUCUACCUUUUCGGUGGGGAUAACGUAGGAACUUACGCUAAUACCGCAUACGACCUUCGGGUGAAAGCAGGGGACCUUCGGGCCUUGCGCGGAUAGAUGAGCCGAUGUCGGAUUAGCUAGUUGGCGGGGUAAAGGCCCACCAAGGCGACGAUCCGUAGCUGGUCUGAGAGGAUGAUCAGCCACACUGGAACUGAGACACGGUCCAG